rnacentral:rRNA from 1 species
CACGAAGUUCAAGGAGCUAAUUAUUAUAUGUUCUUAGACUUUAAGUGUGUAGUAUAACAUAUAAUUAGUAAUAAUUAGGGGUGAAAGGCUUAACAAAUUGAACGAUAACUUGAUUUUAUUAAAAUGUAUUAAGUACAAUUAACAAACUUGGAGUUAUAAGGCCCCAAGUAGGAAUUAAUAAUUUAAAAUUGUAUAUAUAAAGUUUAAUAGCAAAUAUAUUAAUAUAAAAAUAUUGGACUGUAUAGGUUAUUGUGAAUAAAUAAAAAUAGGUAAAUUAUAUGUUCUAUUUAUUAUGUUUAUAUUAGUAUUAGAUUAAGUAAGAAUAAUGAACUCGGCAAUAACAUUCUCAACUGUUUAUCAAAAACAUAGCUGGUUGAUAAUAUAAUCGGUAAUUUCUGCUCGGUGAUUUAUUUAACAGCCGCAGUACCCUGACUGUGCAAAGGUAGCGCAAUCAAUUGACUUUUAAUUGAAGUCCUGUAUGAAGAAUUUAUGGGAGUGGACUAUAUUAUUUAUAUAAUUAAAAUUUACUUAGUAGGUGCAAAAACCUACAAAAAAAUAAUAGACGAGAAGACCCUAGAAAUUUUAAGAAUUGUGCUAAAGAGUCUUUUUGUUGGGGCAACAUAGUAGUGAAUAAUCCUACAUAAUAGACAUAAAAUUAAUUAAGAUGAGAAAAUUACUCUAGGGAUAACAGCAUAAUUUAUUAAAGUUUGUGACCUCGAUGUUGGACUAGGAAGUUAGCGUUUAGAA